UACGGGGGGGGGCAAGCGUUGUUCGGAAUUACUGGGCGUAAAGGCUCGUAGGUGGCCAAUUAAGUCAGGCGUGAAAUCCCCAGGCUUAACCUGGGAACUGCGUCUGAUACUGGUUGGCUUGAAUUCGGGAGAGGGAUGCAGAAUUCCCAGUGUAGCGGUGAAAUGCGUAGAUAUUGGGAGGAACACCAGUGGCGAAGGCGGCUCACUGGACCGGUACUGACGCUGAGGCGCGAAAGCGUGGGGAGCAAACGGG
rnacentral:rRNA from 1 species